rnacentral:rRNA from 1 species
AGGGCGCUUACCACUUUGUGAUUCAUGACUGGGGUGAAGUCGUAACAAGGUAACCGUAGGGGAACCUGCGGUUGGAUCACAUCCUUA